rnacentral:rRNA from 1 species
UCAAGUGAAGAAGCGCAUACGGUGGAUGCCUUGGCAGUCAGAGGCGAUGAAAGACGUGGUAGCCUGCGAAAAGCUUCGGGGAGUCGGCAAACAGACUUUGAUCCGGAGAUGUCUGAAUGGGGGAACCCAGCCAUCAUAAGAUGGUUAUCUUGUACUGAAUACAUAGGUGCAAGAGGCGAACCAGGGGAACUGAAACAUCUAAGUACCCUGAGGAAAAGAAAUCAACCGAGAUUCCCUUAGUAGUGGCGAGCGAACGGGGACUAGCCCUUAAGUGGCUUUGAGAUUAGCGGAACGCUCUGGAAAGUGCGGCCAUAGUGGGUGAUAGCCCUGUACGCGAAAAUCUCUUGGUCAUGAAAUCGAGUAGGACGGGGCACGAGAAACCUUGUCUGAAUAUGGGGGACCAUCCUCCAAGGCUAAAUACUACUGACUGACCGAUAGUGAACUAGUACCGUGAGGGAAAGGCGAAAAGAACCCCGGAGAGGGGAGUGAAAUAGAUCCUGAAACCGUAUGCGUACAAGCAGUGGGAGCCCACUUUGUUGGGUGACUGCGUACCUUUUGUAUAAUGGGUCAGCGACUUAUUUUCAGUGGCGAGCUUAACCGAAUAGGGGAGGCGUAGCGAAAGCGAGUCUUAAUAGGGCGUCUAGUCGCUGGGAAUAGACCCGAAACCGGGCGAUCUAUCCAUGGGCAGGUUGAAGGUUAGGUAACACUGACUGGAGGACCGAACCGACUACCGUUGAAAAGUUAGCGGAUGACCUGUGGAUCGGAGUGAAAGGCUAAUCAAGCUCGGAGAUAGCUGGUUCUCCUCGAAAGCUAUUUAGGUAGCGCCUCAUGUAUCACUGUAGGGGGUAGAGCACUGUUUCGGCUAGGGGGUCAUCCCGACUUACCAAACCGAUGCAAACUCCGAAUACCUACAAGUGCCGAGCAUGGGAGACACACGGCGGGUGCUAACGUCCGUCGUGAAAAGGGAAACAACCCAGACCGUCAGCUAAGGUCCCAAAGUCAUGGUUAAGUGGGAAACGAUGUGGGAAGGCUUAGACAGCUAGGAGGUUGGCUUAGAAGCAGCCACCCUUUAAAGAAAGCGUAAUAGCUCACUAGUCGAGUCGGCCUGCGCGGAAGAUGUAACGGGGCUCAAACCAUGCACCGAAGCUACGGGUAUCACUUAGGUGAUGCGGUAGAGGAGCGUUCUGUAAGCCUGUGAAGGUGAGUUGAGAAGCUUGCUGGAGGUAUCAGAAGUGCGAAUGCUGACAUGAGUAACGACAAUGGGUGUGAAAAACACCCACGCCGAAAGACCAAGGUUUCCUGCGCAACGUUAAUCGACGCAGGGUUAGUCGGUCCCUAAGGCGAGGCUGAAAAGCGUAGUCGAUGGAAAACAGGUUAAUAUUCCUGUACUUCUGGUUAUUGCGAUGGAGGGACGGAGAAGGCUAGGCCAGCUUGGCGUUGGUUGUCCAAGUUUAAGGUGGUAGGCUGAGAUCUUAGGUAAAUCCGGGAUCUUAAGGCCGAGAGCUGAUGACGAGUGUUCUUUUAGAACACGAAGUGGUUGAUGCCAUGCUUCCAAGAAAAGCUUCUAAGCUUCAGGUAACCAGGAACCGUACCCCAAACCGACACAGGUGGUUGGGUAGAGAAUACCAAGGCGCUUGAGAGAACUCGGGUGAAGGAACUAGGCAAAAUGGCACCGUAACUUCGGGAGAAGGUGCGCCGGUGAGGGUGAAGGACUUGCUCCGUAAGCUCAUGCCGGUCGAAGAUACCAGGCCGCUGCGACUGUUUAUUAAAAACACAGCACUCUGCAAACACGAAAGUGGACGUAUAGGGUGUGACGCCUGCCCGGUGCCGGAAGGUUAAUUGAUGGGGUUAGCUAACGCGAAGCUCUUGAUCGAAGCCCCGGUAAACGGCGGCCGUAACUAUAACGGUCCUAAGGUAGCGAAAUUCCUUGUCGGGUAAGUUCCGACCUGCACGAAUGGCGUAACGAUGGCGGCGCUGUCUCCACCCGAGACUCAGUGAAAUUGAAAUCGCUGUGAAGAUGCAGUGUAUCCGCGGCUAGACGGAAAGACCCCGUGAACCUUUACUAUAGCUUUGCACUGGACUUUGAAUUUGCUUGUGUAGGAUAGGUGGGAGGCUUUGAAGCGUGGACGCCAGUUCGCGUGGAGCCAUCCUUGAAAUACCACCCUGGCAACUUUGAGGUUCUAACUCAGGUCCGUUAUCCGGAUCGAGGACAGUGUAUGGUGGGUAGUUUGACUGGGGCGGUCUCCUCCUAAAGAGUAACGGAGGAGUACGAAGGUGCGCUCAGACCGGUCGGAAAUCGGUCGUAGAGUAUAAAGGCAAAAGCGCGCUUGACUGCGAGACAGACACGUCGAGCAGGUACGAAAGUAGGUCUUAGUGAUCCGGUGGUUCUGUAUGGAAGGGCCAUCGCUCAACGGAUAAAAGGUACUCCGGGGAUAACAGGCUGAUACCGCCCAAGAGUUCAUAUCGACGGCGGUGUUUGGCACCUCGAUGUCGGCUCAUCACAUCCUGGGGCUGAAGCCGGUCCCAAGGGUAUGGCUGUUCGCCAUUUAAAGUGGUACGCGAGCUGGGUUUAGAACGUCGUGAGACAGUUCGGUCCCUAUCUGCCGUGGACGUUUGAGAUUUGAGAGGGGCUGCUCCUAGUACGAGAGGACCGGAGUGGACGAACCUCUGGUGUUCCGGUUGUCACGCCAGUGGCAUUGCCGGGUAGCUAUGUUCGGAAAAGAUAACCGCUGAAAGCAUCUAAGCGGGAAACUUGCCUCAAGAUGAGAUCUCACUGGAACCUUGAGUUCCCUGAAGGGCCGUCGAAGACUACGACGUUGAUAGGCAGGGUGUGUAAGCGCUGUGAGGCGUUGAGCUAACCUGUACUAAUUGCCCGUGAGGCUUGACCA